CGCACUGCAUGGUGCGUGCACGCGACAGUUUAUUCCCGCUGGGUGUUCGAAGGACAGGACGAUAUAAACCCAGUAUCUGGCAUCGUUGUUUUUCCUGGCUUCGUGCAUGUUCAACCUGGUAUCUUUAUUGAUACAGUA